UACGAAGGGGGCUAGCGUUGUUCGGAAUUACUGGGCGUAAAGCGCACGUAGGCGGCUUUGUAAGUUAGAGGUGAAAGCCCGGGGCUCAACUCCGGAAUUGCCUUUGAGACUGCAUCGCUAGAAUUGUGGAGAGGUAAGUGGAAUUCCGAGUGUAGAGGUGAAAUUCGUAGAUAUUCGGAAGAACACCAGUGGCGAAGGCGACUUACUGGACACAUAUUGACGCUGAGGUGCGAAAGCGUGGGGAGCAAACAGG
rnacentral:rRNA from 1 species